CUGUCGUCAAGUGUACCUUUUGUCUCUGACCUUUUGUGACUUUGUGAGGUUAGUUUUAUGUUGUGCUCAUGUGCUGUCAAAAGUCAAUUUUUCGAUACCGUUAAACCGUUUUGGACUUGAAAACUCCUGGAGGAAGAAAACGUACAACCUAUUUUGACAUUAUCCUCUUUAGUUCCUGUGGAGAAAUUUGCUCAAACUAGUGAGUGGUCUUCAGACUGAUUCAUGAAUUCGAAAUUUCAGG